rnacentral:rRNA from 1 species
AUUGAACGCUGGCGGCAUGCCUUACACAUGCAAGUCGAACGGCAGCACGGGAGCAAUCCUGGUGGCGAGUGGCGAACAGGUGAGUAAAGUAUCGGAACGUGCCCAGUCGUGGGGGAUAACGUAGCGAAAGUUACGCUAAUACCGCAUACGAUCUAUGGAUGAAAGCGGGGGAUCGCAAGACCUCGCGCGAUUGGAGCGGCCGAUAUCAGAUUAGGUAGUUGGUGGGGUAAAGGCUCACCAAGCCGACGAUCUGUAGGUGGUCUGAGAGGACGACCAGCCACACUGGGACUAAGACACGGCCCAGACUCCUACGGGAGGCAGCAGUGGGGAAUUUUGGACAAUGGGCGAAAGCCUGAUCCAGCCAUGCCGCGUGCAGGAUGAAGGCCUUCGGGUUGUAAACUGCUUUUGUACGGAACGAAAAGGUUUGGCCUAAUAAGCUGAGCUCAUGACGGUACCGUAAGAAUAAGCACCGGCUAACUACGUGCCAGCCGCCGCAGUAA